rnacentral:lncRNA from 1 species
GCGGCUUUUGUACCCAGUUGCUUCCUGGCUGCUUUACGGUCGAUUUGCAGGCAGUCCGCUUUGUACAAGCCAUGGUAUAGAGGCUUCCUUAUUUACCUCCCUUAUCCUUCAGCUGGAGCUCUGCGAGCCAGAGGCAGCGCUGGCGUUGGAGAGUGAUGGCGGCAUGGCGGUGCGGCGGCGGCUGCGAACACCUUGAGGACGGGUCGCAUUAUGUUGCCCAGGCUGGACUUGAACUUCUGGGCUCGAGCAAUUCUCCCACCUCAGCCUACCAAGCAGCUGGGACUACAGGUCUGCACCACUGCACCCCACCCAUUCAAGUCCACAUCCCCAGAAACGAGGAUAAUGCUUGGCACAAGGUGUUUAUAAUUCCCUUGGUUUUCUUCACAAUUUCACCACAUAAAUUUGCUUUCCUAAAGCCUCAAGAACAGUGUGGAUUAAAGUGGUUUUGAUGACAAGCUUAAAAAAUUUUUUGCUGAGUGGCUGGCAAGAUGGCCCAAUAGGAACAGCUCCAGCCUGCAGCUCCCAGUGAGAUCAACGCAGAAGGUGGGUGAUUUCUGCAUUUCCAACUGAGGUACCCGGCUCAUCUCACUGGGACUAGUUAGACAGUGGGUGCAGCCCAUGGAGAGCAAGCUGAAGCAGGGUGGGGCAUCACCUCACCAAGGAAGUACAAGGGGUCGGGGAACUCCCUGCCCUAGCCAAGGGAAGCCGGGAGGGACUGUGCCAUGAGGAACGUGUAUUCUGGCCCAGAUGCUAUGCUUUUCAUGGUCUUCACAACCUGCAGACCAGGAGAGUCCCUCGGGUGACUACACCACCAGGUCCCUGGGUUUCAAGCACAAAACUGCACGGCUGUUUGGGCAGACACCUAGCUAGCUGCAGAGUUUUUUUUUUUUUUUUUUUUUUUCAUACCCUAGUGGUGCCUGGAAUGCCAGAGAGACAGAACCAUUCACUCCCUGGAAAGGGGGCUGAAACCAGGGAGCCAAGUGGUCUAGCUCAGUUGAUCCCACCCCCAUGGCGCCCAGCAAGGUAAGAUCCACUGGCUUGAAAUUCUCGCUGCCAGCACAGUAGUCUGAAGUUGACCUGGGACACUUGAACUUGGUAGGGGGAGGGACAUCCAUCAUUACUGAGGCUUGAGUAGGCGGUUUUCCCAUCACAGUGUAAACAAAGCUGCCUGGAAUUUCAAACUGGACGGAGCGCACUGCAGCUUGAGAAAGCCGCUGUAGCCAGAUUGCCUCUCUAGAUUCCUUCUCUCUCUAGGGCAUCUCUGAAAGAAAGGCAGAAGCCCCAGUCAGGGGCUUAUAUAUAAAACUCUCAUCACCCUGGGACAGAGCACCUGGGGGAAGGGGCAGAUGUGGGCACAGCUUCAGCAGACUUGAACGUUCCUUCCCGCCAGCUAUAAAGAGAGCAGUGGAUCUCCCACCACAGAGCUCUGCUAAGGGACAGACUGCCCCCUCACGUGGGCCUCUGGCCCCCGUGCCUCCUGACUGGGAGAUACCUCCUAGCAGGGGUCAACAGACAUCUCAUACAGGAGAGCUCUGGCUGGCAUCUUGGGGGUGCCCCUUUGGGACGAAGCUUCCAGAGGUAGGAACAGGGAGCAAUCUUUGCUGUUCUGCAGUCUCUGCUGGUGAUACCAGAACAGGGCCUGGAAUGGACCUCCAGCAAACUCCAGCAGACCUGCAGCAGAGAGGCCUGACUGUUAGAAGGAAAACUAACAAACAGAAAGGAAUAGCAUCAACAUCAACAAAAAGGACAUCCACACAAAAACCCCAUCUGAAGAUCACCAACAUCAAAGACCUAACGAAGAUGAAUCCACAAAAAUGAGGAAAAACCAGUGCAAAAAGGCUGAAAAUUCCAAAAACUAGAAUGCCUCUUCUCCUCCAAAAGAUCACCACUCCUCGCAGGAAGGGAACAAAACUGGAUGGAGAAGGAGUUUGAUGAAUUUUGAUAUUACCUACCUUCAGAAGGUAGGUAAUAACAAACUCUUCUGAGCUAAAGGAGCAUGUUCUAACCCAAUGUAAGGAAGCUAAGAACCUUGAAAAAAGGUUAGAUGAAUUGC